rnacentral:lncRNA from 1 species
UCCAGGGCAAUGUCAGCAGAGGCAAACAAUCGCUGCACGAUGCCAAACCUCUCUGUGUCUCUCAGAGGAGCCAAGGUGGGGUUGUGAAAAUCACACACGCUGUCAUCAGACAGAGCAUGGAGCUGAAAUGACAAACAAAUUCCCUUCAAAAUGGCCCAGAAAACCCCAAGUUAAAUACCUUUUAAAGAAAUUCCCAAAUAAAACAGGAAAACCAUUAGAUGGAACAUAAAGAUAUGUGUUCCAUCAUGCCAAGACUUUAGGCCUGUUUUUCUCUUCCUUGCCUGUAUUCCUGAGUCCACACACUUGUGCCUAGAUCCAUUAGCCCAGUAAGUUGGAUCAGCAUGAGCCCUUCAUCCACAUGUAAGGGUUUAUCUGCCUCCACUGAUAAUGUGUACAUUUCUAUGGAAUGCAUUAUGGUAAUUCAGUACAUGUAUAGAAUCUAUAGUAAUAAAUGAUGGCAACAAGAGUUUUUGCCUUCACAU